CAGCAGUCGCGGUUAUACUGAGAGGUAAAGUAAAAGAUAGUCGGUUAAAAAUGCUUAGAUGAAAAGAUUUUAUUUAAAUGGAUUGUUUUGUGUUAAUAAAGGGUGAAAUCGAUUUUUUGCUAUAUAAUUAAUUUCGUUAGAUAAAAGUUGUUGAGGUUAUUAAGGUUAAGGUAUGAACCAGGAUUAGAUACCCUGUUACACUUUACUUAAAAAGUUUAUUAUACCCAGGUAAUAAGCAGUUAUGAUCUUGAAACUUAAAGGAUUUGGCGGUAAUUUAGUCUAGUUAGAGGAACCUGUCCUGUAAUCGAUAAACCACGCAGUAUCUUACUUUAUCUUGAAAAUUUAUCAGUUUAUAUACCAUCAUUAUUAGAUAACUUUAAAAAGGUAGAGAAGUUAUUGAAAUAAUUUUAAGUUAGUAUAUUAGAUCAAGGUGUAGCUAAUGAUAAAGUAGAGAUGGGUUACAAUAAUAUAAGUUUAUAACGGAUUUAAAGGGGAAUUUUUUUAAUGAAGGAGGAUUUAAAUGUAAGUAUAUUUUAACAUGAUAUACUGAUUAUAGCUCUAGAUUAUGUACACAUCGCCCGUCGCUCUCGUUAUAUAAAGCGAGAUAAGUCGUAACAAAGUAGGUGU
rnacentral:rRNA from 1 species